CCAGGGUUCUAAGCUGUACAAUGACUCUCCACAAAUGCAUGUGUGCACUUCAGAAGUUUGAGACUGAUAUGUGGGGCAGGUUGGCACACUUAUUUCACACUGUGUGAAUUAGUUUUAUUCACAAGUAGAAUGUAUAAGGAGGGCUUCACUUCCUCUAGACUGGGGAUCUGAAAACUUGAAUUCCCCAAACAUUUUGACAGCCUUAAGUUUGAUCUGGAGAAACCAAAGGACAAAAUCUGUGUUCAUCAAAUACACAUACGUGGUCCUUGCGCUAUUGUUAACUUUUGAUGGAAGACAAAAUAGCCUUUGCUGUCAGUGUAAUCUUGUAAGAAUGGAAAAGCCUUCAACCAUAAGUGGAAAUCUAUAGUGUGAAAUCAGAGAGUUGGAAGUAAUUGCUCUGUGACCAGAACACCUCCUAAGAGCAGACAAAAUUAUGAACAUGGAAGGGAACAAAGAUUGGUGAUGAAAUUAAAUGAAGAAUUAAAGAAGGGGGGGGAGUGAUUUUUCAGAAAAGUCUGUGUUCCUUAAACUAAACAGUAAAUCCUAACCUGGCAUUUGCAAAAUUCAAUACAUCAUUGCUACAGUUGUAUAUGCAACCAAACUGAACUAUAUAAUAUCUAGUUAUUUCCUUCCUUUUUGCUCAGUUCUUUGAAGGACUGGAGCAGAUUUACAUAAAGUUUAUUUACAGUUUCCUCCUCCCCCCCCCCCAAAAAAAAUUCCUUCACACCAGCCCUCAAAAUAGGAUAUAUAUAUAUUUAAUAUUUUAUUGUGAAAGUCUCAACUUUUUCUGAAAGAAGGAAUAGUAAAGCACCAGUCUCAAGGAGCCCUCAGUCAUAGCAAAGAGAAUAAUUUCAUCAGGCUCAAUCUUCUAGUGCCUGUAAUGUUUCCUCUGGUUCCAAUUCCAUUUAAAACACAGGCUUACAGAUGCACCAGAAGAUUUGGGUUUCAGCCAUAAUAGGAAUCAAUGUCCUUGAGUUAAGGUCCUACUGUACGUGCCACCCCUCUGAGAGGUGUUUACUAAAAAUAUAAAAUAAAAGGCCGAAGGUAAAUUGUACCAGAGCUGACAAACACUCAACAUCUGGCUUUCGACAGCCCCCCUACUGUUUGUUUAUUUCCCGCUCAAACAGUUUGGCAUAAAAAAUUAUAGACAGGAGACCCCUGAGUAACUCUAAUUUAAAUCAAUAUCUGAGGCAAAUGCUGAUUUGUAUUUGACGUGAAAUGGGCCAAAGCAUUCAUAUUGGCUAAAGCCAUGGUCUGUUUGGUCUCUGCCACUUGACUUUCAAUUGUGUCGGUAACAUAUAACUUUUGGGGGCACUGAGCGAAUCCAUUUUGUGCUUAUCCUGAGAGAUGCAUGACAUUGGCUGUGUUUAAACUUUUUAAUCAAAUCUAAUGUCUCCCUGAAAUUCCCCCCAUGCCUUGUUUUGCCUCAUUGUGAACACAGAAAAGUAAAUUCAGCUUUUCCCAGGUAGUUAUCUUUCUACAAGUCUGAUCAUGUCGAGUCUCCUCUUAUUAUAAUUUCCCAUACUUUAUCUUUGGCUCUCUGUUGCAUAAAGAUGCCCUGAUUAGCGCAAGAUUUAUUGUGGUAACCUAUGUGUGUCGAAUAUCAACAAUAUGGAUAAUGGGUAGGGGCUUUUUUGGUUGUUGCUCAAAUUCCCACAACCGUUUACAUUAACUCUGAGCCAUUUCUUCCUAAAUGGAACAAUAAGGAUCUGUGAAAUUGUGUUGAGCCGUGAUUGAAUUCUCUCAUAACGAUGCUUUCGUUCAGCCACCUCCAACUGUGAAUGAAAAGAAUCCAAAUCUAGAGUGAGAUCUGACAUCACAUUUUUCAACUAACCGAUGGCUCCUGGAAUGAGCAAGUGAGAAGAGGGGAAGCAAACAGAAAUACAAUUUCCCCUGAAAAGAGACCUCAACUCUGAACUGAAGAAAAAGUUAAGUGCUAAGAAAAUAAUGGUCUCCGUUGCAUUUGUUUUCUGGUGGGGAAAACUUUUCCCCAGAGGUCAUGGGUAAAAAAGAAAAGAAAAAGGAAGAUAAUAUUGGUGAAAUGCAGGAGUGCUAAUGUUUGUCUUCUUCUCUAUUGACCGCCAGAGCAUCAUCAUGACAGCAUGCAAAGUGGUGACCAUUUUGGAUAUUGUGAUUAAAGAAAAAGGUUGAUUGUUUCCUGACUCAUCCUGCAUUGAAACCGAGAGGCACGGCAAAACACAUGACGCUUCACCUCAGUAAAUACGAUAAACUAAUAAAUAAAUUCAGCCUGUGAAUAUGCAGCCUGAGAGCCACAUUUCAUGUUUGGGAAAUUUUCAGAGGCAAUAUGUCAAUUACUGUAUAGAUAGGACUAGAGGCAAGAGCUGGAGGUGAUGGAUGUUACUCUUGCCAUUGUUCAUUCCAAGCACACAAAGCCAGCUGUUUUGUGUUUUUUAAAAAAAUCAUUUUUAUUUGAUUUUACAAUACAAAAUUAUUUUUAAAAAAUCGAUUACAUAACCAUAUACAGAGUUUCCUCCAAAUCUC
rnacentral:lncRNA from 1 species